AUUGAACGCUGGCGGCAGGCCUAACACAUGCAAGUCGAACGAGUGGCGGACGGGUGAGCAAUGUCUGGGAAACUGCCUGAUGGUGGGGGAUAACUACUGGAAACGGUAGCUAAUGCCGCAUACCAUCAGAUGUGCCCAGAUGGGAUUAGCUUGUUGGCGGGGUAACGGCUCACCAAGGCGACGAUCCCUAGUUGGUCUGAGGGGAUGACCAGCCACACUGAAACUGAGACACUGGCCAGACUCCUACGUGAGGCAGCAGUGGGGAAUAUUGCGCAAUGGGCGCAAGCCUGAUGCAGCCAUGCCGCGUGUAUGAAGAAGGCCUUCGGGUUGUAAAGUACUUUCAGCGGGGAGGCGUUACCCACAGAAGAAGCACCGACUAACUCCGUGCCAGCAGCCGCGGUAAUAC
rnacentral:rRNA from 1 species